rnacentral:lncRNA from 1 species
ACCGGGGCCUACCUCAUUGACCGUGACCCCACCUACUUCGGGCCCAUAUUGAACUUCCUCAGGCAUGGCAAAUUGGUGCUGGACAAGGACAUGGCUGAGGAGGGGGUCCUGGAGGAAGCUGAGUUCUACAACAUCGGUCCUCUGAUUCGAAUCAUCAAAGACAGGAUGGAGGAAAAAGACUACACAGUGACCCAGGUGCCACCCAAGCACGUGUACCGAGUGCUGCAGUGCCAGGAGGAGGAACUCACACAGAUGGUCUCCACUAUGUCCGAUGGCUGGCGCUUCGAGCAGCUGGUGAACAUCGGUUCCUCCUACAACUAUGGGAGUGAGGACCAGGCCGAGUUCCUGUGUGUGGUGUCUAAGGAACUCCACAGCUCCCCCCACGGCCUGAGUUCGGAGUCCACUCGCAAGACCAAGCUAUUACAAGCCAGAGGCACCCGGAUGUGAGCCCCCAGAUCACCUCCAGGGACUUGGGGUUCCGAUCUGAAAUCCUUUAGCACCUCCUAGAGCCUCAGUCUCCAUGGCACCACAGGGUCACCUCCUCCUCCCACCUACCUCACAGGGUUGUUGUGAGAAUCAGAGAGGACCAUGGGGUUCCUGGAAGCCCUAAGUGUGCUGGGGCUGCAAUCAUUACCUGCUGAGGGGAGGUACUCUCUAGCCCAGCCCCUGUAUGGGACACUAUGGCCUCAGAUACUGGUGGGGGACAAUGUGAGGACUUAGCCAGGCAGGAAGGAAAGUACAGACUUGACAGCACCUUGGCCACCCCUCCCCUCUGCCACUGUGUGUUUGCCAGCAGAGUAUGGUGUCCAGGAACUUGGGAUGGGGAAGGGGACAGGUGUAAAGGGCUGAGCUGCCCCACCCGGGAUGGGGACAUGUCUAUCAGUUGUGUCCUGCCCACCAUGAAAUAAACCUGAAUGAACAGGCUUG